rnacentral:rRNA from 1 species
UUUAAACGCUGGCGGCAUGCUUUACACAUGCAAGUCGAACCGGCAGCGCGGGCUUGCCGUGCCGGCGAGUGGCGAACGGGUGAGUAAUGCAUCGGAACGUACCCAAGUCGUGGGGGAUAACACAUCGAAAGAUGUGCUAAUACCGCAUACGUCCUGAGGGAGAAAGCGGGGGACCUUCGGGCCUCGCGCGAUUGGAGCGGCCGAUGUCAGAUUAGCUAGUAGGUGGGGUAAAGGCCCACCUAGGCGACGAUCUGUAGCGGGUCUGAGAGGAUGAUCCGCCACACUGGGACUGAGACACGGCCCAGACUCCUACGGGAGGCAGCAGUGGGGAAUUUUGGACAAUGGGGGCAACCCUGAUCCAGCCAUGCCGCGUGAGUGAAGAAGGCCUUCGGGUUGUAAAGCUCUUUCGGCCGGGAAGAAAUCGCAUUCUCUAACAUAGUAUGUGGAUGACGGUACCGGACUAAG